UACGUAGGGACCAAGCGUUGUUCGGAUUUACUGGGCGUAAAGGGCGCGUAGGCGGCGCGACAAGUCACUUGUGAAAUCUCUGGGCUUAACUCAGAACGGCCAAGUGAAACUGUUGUGCUAGAGUGCAGAAGGGGCAAUCGGAAUUCUCGGUGUAGCGGUGAAAUGCGUAGAUAUCUGGAGGAAUACCGGUGGCGAAGGCGGCAUCCUGGACCGAGAUUGACACUAAAGCGCGAAAGCCAGGGGAGCAAACGGG
rnacentral:rRNA from 1 species